rnacentral:rRNA from 1 species
UACGUAGGGUGCGAGCGUUGUCCGGAAUUAUUGGGCGUAAAGGGCUCGUAGGCGGUUUGUCGCGUCGGGAGUGAAAACCUACAGCUUAACUGUGGGCUUGCUUUCGAUACGGGCAGACUAGAGGUAUGCAGGGGAGAACGGAAUUCCUGGUGUAGCGGUGAAAUGCGCAGAUAUCAGGAGGAACACCGAUGGCGAAGGCAGGUCUCUGGGCCACUACUGACGCUGAGAAGCGAAAGCAUGGGGAGCGAACAGG